GUCAUAUGCUUGUCUCAAAGAUUAAGCCAUGCAUGUCUCAGUACAAGCCAAAUUAAGGUGAAACCGCGAAAGGCUCAUUAAAUCAGUUAUGGUUCCUUAGAUCGUACCCACAAUUACUUGGAUAACUGUGGUAAUUCUAGAGCUAAUACACGCAAACAGAGCUCCGACCGGAGACGGAAGGAGUGCUUUUAUUAGAUCAAAACCAAUCGGUGGCGGGUUCGCUCGUCAUCGUACAACUUGGUGACUCUGAAUAACUUUACGCUGAUCGCACGGUCCUCGCACCGGCGACGCAUCUUUCAAAUGUCUGCCUUAUCAACUGUCGAUGGUAGGUUCUGCGCCUACCAUGGUUGUAACGGGUAACGGGGAAUCAGGGUUCGAUUCCGGAGAGGGAGCCUGAGAAACGGCUACCACAUCCAAGGAAGGCAGCAGGCGCGCAAAUUACCCACUCCCGGCACGGGGAGGUAGUGACRAAAAAUAACGAUACGGGACUCAUCCGAGGCCCCGUAAUCGGAAUGAGUACACUCUAAACCCUUUAACGAGGAUCAAUUGGAGGGCAAGUCUGGUGCC
rnacentral:rRNA from 2 species